rnacentral:rRNA from 1 species
AUGGCUCAGAUUGAACGCUGGCGGCAGGCCUAACACAUGCAAGUCGAACGGUAACAUUUCUAGCUUGCAAGAAGAUGACGAGUGGCGGACGGGUGAGUAAUGCUUGGGAACUUGCCUUUGCGAGGGGGAUAACAGUUGGAAACGACUGCUAAUACCGCAUAAUGUCUUCGGACCAAACGGGGCUUCGGCUCCGGCGCAAAGAGAGGCCCAAGUGAGAUUAGCUAGUUGGUAAGGUAACGGCUUACCAAGGCGACGAUCUCUAGCUGUUCUGAGAGGAAGAUCAGCCACACUGGGACUGAGACACGGCCCAGACUCCUACGGGAGGCAGCAGUGGGGAAUAUUGCACAAUGGGGGAAACCCUGAUGCAGCCAUGCCGCGUGUGUGAAGAAGGCCUUCGGGUUGUAAAGCACUUUCAGUUGUGAGGAAAAGUUAGUAGUUAAUACCUGCUAGCCGUGACGUUAACAACAGAAGAAGCACCGGCUAACUCCGUGCC